CUGUUAACUGUUUUACAUACUAUAUAAAACCAGAUGGGACACCUAAAUAUACAUAGGGAAGAGAAAUGUUGGAAUGUAAACUCAAUUAGAGGUACCUAGCUACAGGAGAUAGGCGAACGGGACCGUGGACCUACCACAUGAUUGUAAUAAUGCCUUGUACACAGUUUACAUGCCUGUUUAUGCAUAACCCUAUCUUGAUGUAAUUGCGUUGUUUUACGAUGUCGUGUCUUG